UUGUGCAGUAUUAUGUUGAUCCAUCCUCGGGCUGAAAGUUCAGAUCGAAGAAAGAAGUGCUUUACUAUCUAGAAACUGGAAUGCCCCCACCUUAAAAGAAGAAAGGAACAGAGACUUCUAGCGGUGAAGAUGUUGGUAAAGGGAACACUGGAGGCAACAAACAGAAGAAACCUGAUAAAAAGCCAAAGCCUUUGAACUCUGAUUUCGAUAACGUGCCGCAGAAAGUUGAUUGGUUGUUGACGUUUGGCUCUGAACACUGCUGGACUCCCUUCUUGGGGAGGACCGAGUGGCUGACCCUACUAGACAAGAUUGGGCCGCUGCGUUUGCAUCCGUAAUAGCCAGGAAAAACGGUCAAGCAAUGUAUUGAAGACAUUCGACACC